rnacentral:rRNA from 1 species
GUGCCAGCCGCCGCGGUAAUACGUAGGGUGCGAGCGUUAAUCGGAAUUACUGGGCGUAAAGCGUGCGCAGGCGGUUUCGUAAGACAGAUGUGAAAUCCCCGGGCUUAACCUGGGAACUGCGUUUGUGACUGCGAGACUUGAGUGCGGCAGAGGGGGGUGGAAUUCCACGUGUAGCAGUGAAAUGCGUAGGGAUGUGGAGGAACACCGAUGGCGAAGGCAGCCCCCUGGGUCGACACUGACGCUCAUGCACGAAAGCGUGGGGAGCAAACAGGAUUAGGUACCCUGGUAGUCCACGCCCUAAACGAUGUCAACUAGUUGUUGGUAGGGUAAAACCUAUUAGUAACGGAGCUAACGCGUGAAGUUGACCGCCUGGGGAGUACGGCCGCAAGGUUAAAACUCAAAGGAAUUGACGG